GAUGAACGCUAGCGGCAGGCUUAAUACAUGCAAGUCGAGGGGCAGCACAGUGUAGCAAUACAUGGGUGGCGACCGGCAUACGGGUGCGGAACACGUACGCAAUCUACCUUCAACUGGAACAUAGCCCCGGGAAACUGGGAUUAAUAUUCCAUAAUAUUAUAGGGCGGCAUCACCUUAUAAUUAAAGCUCAGGCGGUUGAAGAUGAGCGUGCGCCUGAUUAGCUAGUUGGCGGGGUAACGGCCCACCAAGGCAACGAUCAGUAACUGGCGUGAGAGCGCGACCAGUCACACGGGCACUGAGACACGGGCCCGACUCCUACGGGAGGCAGCAGUAGGGAAUAUUGGUCAAUGGAGGCAACUCUGAACCAGCCAUGCCGCGUGCAGGAUGAAGGCCCUCUGGGUUGUAAACUGCUUUUAUCAGGGAAGAAACCACCGGAUUCAUCUGGUGUUGACGGUACCUGAGAAAUAAGCACCGGCUAACUCCGUGCCAGCAGCCGCGGUAACAC
rnacentral:rRNA from 1 species